rnacentral:sRNA from 1 species
CCAUCCAAGUACUAACCAGGCCCGACCCUGCUUAGCUUCUGAGAUCAGAUGAGAUUGAGCACUUUCAGGGUGGUA